UACGGAGGGGGCUAGCGUUGUUCGGAAUUACUGGGCGUAAAGCGUGCGCAGGCGGUUUUGUAAGCCAGAUGUGAAAGCCCCGGGCUCAACCUGGGAAUGGCAUUUGGGACUGCAAGGCUGGAGUUUGGCAGAGGAGACUGGAAUUCCUGGUGUAGCAGUGAAAUGCGUAGAUAUCAGGAGGAAUACCGAUGGCGAAGGCAGGUCUCUGGGCUAUAACUGACGCUCAUGCACGAAAGCGUGGGGAGCAAACAGG
rnacentral:rRNA from 1 species